rnacentral:rRNA from 1 species
AUACGGAGGGUGCAAGCGUUAAUCGGAAUUACUGGGCGUAAAGCGUGCGUAGGUGGCUUGUUAAGUCAGAUGUGAAAGCCCCGGGCUCAACCUGGGAACUGCAUUUGAAACUGGCAUACUAGAGUAUAGGAGAGGAAAGUGGAAUUUCAGGUGUAGCGGUGAAAUGCGUAGAUAUCUGAAGGAACAUCAAUGGCGAAGGCAGCUUUCUGGACUAAUACUGACACUGAGGUACGAAAGCGUGGGUAGCAAACAGGAUUAGAAACCCCAGUAGUCC